UACGGAGGGUGCAAGCGUUAAUCGGAAUUACUGGGCGUAAAGCGUGCGUAGGCGGAUGCUUAAGUCAGAUGUGAAAGCCCCGGGCUUAACCUGGGAACGGCAUUUGAAACUGGGCGUCUAGAGUUAGGUAGAGGGGAGUGGAAUUUCAGGUGUAGCGGUGAAAUGCGUAGAUAUCUGAAGGAACACCAGUGGCGAAGGCGACUCCCUGGACCCAAACUGACGCUGAGGUACGAAAGCGUGGGUAGCAAACAGG
rnacentral:rRNA from 1 species